CACGUAGUUAGCCGUGACUUUCUGGUUAAAUACCGUCAACGUAUGAACAGUUACUCUCAUACGUGUUCUUCUUUAACAACAGAGCUUUACGAGCCGAAACCCUUCUUCACUCACGCGGUGUUGCUCCAUCAGGCUUGCGCCCAUUGUGGAAGAUUCCCUACUGCUGCCUCCCGUAGGAGUAUGGGCCGUGUCUCAGUCCCAUUGUGGCCGAUCAGUCUCUCAACUCGGCUAUGCAUCAUCGCCUUGGUAGGCCAUUACCCCACCAACAAGCUAAUGCACCGCAGGUCCAUCCAGAAGUGAUAGCGAGAAGCCAUCUUUUAAGCGUUGUUCAUGCGAACAACGUUGUUAUGCGGUAUUAGCAUCUGUUUCCAAAUGUUGUCCCCCGCUUCUGGGCAGGUUACCUACGUGUUACUCACCCGUCCGCCACUCGUUGGCGACCAAAAUCAAUCAGGUGCAAGCACCAUCAAUCAAUUGGGCCAACGCGUUCGACUU
rnacentral:rRNA from 1 species